GGGCGUAUAGCUCAGUGGUAGAGCACUGCCUUCACACGGCAGGGGUCCGUGGUUCGAACCCACGUACGCCCACCA
rnacentral:tRNA from 1 species